AUGUCUUUGAGUGGCAAAGCAAAUCACUCUGCCCUGAAAAGCUGAGUCCCAACAUUUGGUCUCCAAAAUCCUGCCUGAAAAGUGAUGAAUUUAAAACCAAAUAUCAGAAAUGUUUAAUGUGUACUGUGUUUAAAACUGAGCAGGACUCAUUUUAUCUACUAACACUGAUAAACUUUGCAGGUAAGGCACCUUAAAAAGCGCUGAGCUAAAUCAUCACACAGUUUGGUUAGUUGUGAUAACUUAAGCUUUUAUAUAAUACUUUUUUUUAAUCACAUUUAAACUAAGUUUAUGACACCAAAGUCCAGUUGCACUUGUUGGCUUUGAUUCUUUUAUAUGUUUGGUUUUUUUUGUCUGUUUGGUAAUAUUGUGAUAUUUUGUUUCAUCUCUAUGUUGUUUUGUAACUUAAAAAAUGGUAAUUUUAUGAUUGAAAAAUUUAAAUUGUUCUUCAGUUCGUAGAGCGGAAAAGUGGCACGUUGGUGAAAGGAUGUUUUCACCAAAGUGCCGAUUAUAUCAACUGAAUUCAAGUCGUCUAACACAGCAUGUGUUUUGUCUGAUGUGACGCUUUUUACGGUUUCUAAGAGAACAAUUCAAUUUGAACCACAGAUAUAGGCAGAAGCAAAUGUACAGCCACUCACCUCUCAGCUAAUAAAAACUAGUUCUGUGUAGUUUUAAGUGAUGAUGAUUUUGUUAUGGAUAUGGUGAUAGAAGCUGUGGUUUCUCGGUUCUGGAAGUAGACUUCCAGAGUAUAAUCUUCAUCACUCGUCAUCAAGCUGUAACUCUCCACUUGUGAAGAAAGGUGACGAACAUGGACACCGGUAACCCAACACCACUGGUGGGUCCAAUUCUCACACCUGCCCCAUCCUGAGCAGAUGUCUGACGAGAAAAGAAGCGAAAACAUUAUAAUAAAUCACUGGUUAACCUGAACUGGGAGGACUGGGGGGAGAGGCUUAUGUUUAUUACAGGAAGGUUUUGAUCCUUAUCAACAUGACUGUUGUAUGAACUCUACAUUUUGUCAGGUUAAUUUGAUCCUUUCUUUUCCUGAGGUGGAAUGAUUGUACAGUUAAUGAAUUUGAAAACAAUUAUUUAGAAAACAAGAUCUAAUUUACAUCUUGAUUGGUUUAUUUUUCUAAUUCUUUCAGGUUUUAAAUAGAGGCUCAAAUAUAUACAUUUAGAUCCCCACUUACGUUUAUUUUAUUUUUUUUGACUCUCAGCAAAUUGCUAAUUUACCACCAUUAAAAAGGCCCAGCCUUAUCUCUGGCUGGUUGUUUGACCUCUCCUCUUACUGAAAUAGUUAAUUAGAAGUGGUUGGUUUUCUGGUAUGAUCCUGUGUUUUAGACGAGCUCUGUACAUUUUUUUAAUAAGUUUGAGGUCAAAUCAGAUUUAUUCCAUCCAUAAACAGUUUUAAUGUGCAUUUGGGAUCUUUAUUCUGUUGUUUCCAAGUUCCAAAUGUUUAGAUGUUGAUUCAAAGUGAAGUUAGCACAUUGCCUCUGUAGCAUUGGCAGCAAGUCAGACCAUGAUACUGCCACCACCAUGCCUUACAGCUGGCCAUAAAGGGUUUGUUUUAAACAAAACAUCUCAGUCUUUGUCCAGCUGAAAACGUUUCUCCAAAAGUCAUCAGUUCACUCUUCAUUGUUCUUUUUUAGAUUUACGAUAAGUUCACGUUUGACUAGUUCCUGGGUUACUUUUUAACAUCCCAGACAAUUUCCUCACAUCAGAAAAACAGUCAGUUAGAUAUCUGAUACUCUAAUGCAGUUUGAGCGUUUCACUGGAUACUUGUCCCAAACCCAAAUCCAAACUGGUUUUGGCCCGAAUAAAGCAGGAUAAUGUUAAGCUUCUAGAGUGGAUCCGACUUCAAACUUGCUGAAUAUUUUUGGACUGAAAAGGAAAACGAAUCAAUUUGAACAAGUUCUUCCAACUCUCUUAUGAAGAGUGUUCAACAAGAAAAACAGCAGCAGCUUUGUGACGGCUAUGACAUAUAACCAAAAAUUAGUGUUCGUGCACAUUUCUUUUAUCCUCCAUGUAUAAUUUUAACACAGAUUUCAAUUAUUGUGUCUAAAAUUUACAGACGUUCUUUGCUGCGCAAUCAAAACACUUCCUGAGUGUAUAUAAACUUCUGGUUGGCACAGAAUGAUCUAAACAUCGUUUAUCUGACCAUAGAAUAACAUCAAAUCAGCAAAAACACUUUUAUUACAAUUGCUUUGACAGUUAGUAGUUUAUUUACAGAGUUUAUCAUGCUCCGACAUAAAAGACAAAUGUUAAGUAAGUUACAAAUUAACUCAGGUGUUGUACACAAAGUUAAGGCCUUAAACACUUGUAAAAUAACGCAUACUUUUAUAAGUAAAUGGAAAACUUCAUGUUUGAUGUGUUCACCUCAGACUGCAGCUGUAAACUGUAAUGUCUCAUCAACCUUGACGAAGAUAAUGGUAAUGAUGUUUAGCUUAUCUAUAAAAUGAAUCCAUGGAUUCUUUUAUGUUCUUUUUGUUUCCACAUUAGUCACUAAUGCUUACAUUUAAACAGAUAAACUAACUUGUGGAGAAGAAAACAUGUUUUUGAUCUCUUUGUCAUAAUUCUUGGUCAUAAUUUCAGGUUCAGAAGAGAUUAGAGAUUAUUUGGUCUUUUAACUUGGCUCACAAUGCAGCCUAGUUAAAUAUACUGCAAAACCAGUCACUGAAAAAAAGCCCACUUCCUGGAAACUGUAGACUUUUUAAACAACUUUAACAAACUAAAACAUGAUUUAUGGAUAGAGCCCAUGCAUCUAAACACAAUACAUAAAAAAAUGCAUGACAUAAAACAAAGUAGCUCAUCAAUAAAUAAAUAAAUGUGGUUAUAGCAAAAAGGACAAGUUCAUCCCCAAAAGGGUCAUCAAGUUGCAAUAAAAAUGUCCAAUUUUUCUAACACUGGAAUGUUUAAUUGAAAAGAGGGAAUGUCUAAAUGUCCCAGCAGCGUUCAUUAAACCAGGACAGCUAUUUGCAUCGAUGGGCAUCUUUAAUCUUUAAUCUCAAAAAACAUCAAAAUGUCACUUUGCAUUCGAAGGACAUCUUUAUUUUCUGUCCAAGAACAACAAACAAAGGGGGUAAAAUUAUAAACCCGACUUUGUCUCAUUCUUUUACAAAGCCUCACCUUGAUGUAAACCGUUAUAUUUCUUUUUAGAAUAUUAGGCUAAUAAAAGUAUUUUUCUGCAGCUUGUGUCUAGAUAAUGCUUCUUUACCAAAGUCUUACAAAAUAAAAUGGAAAGACAGUUAUGCAUGCAAAGCAUACACAUAAAUACAUGUAUAUGCUUUGCAUUAGCUGCGUGUAAAAUUAAUCAGUAAAAGUUAUUCACAGCACAUAAAAUGCAGCUUUGAUCACAGCCGACGGAAAUAACUAAAACUGAAUCCAAACAUGUUUGUGUGUCCAACAUGAGUUCAGAGAACAAGACAUUGUGUCUGAGAAAAUGAAAUGUAAUAAUUGAAAAUGGAUUAGUAAGGGUUUUGUUCCUUUAACUUGUUUAAUCAGAGUUAUAUUUCUGCAGCAGGUAAAAGCACGGUGUUUGAAAUGAUCCUAAAAUGAGAUAAAGAUGAGCAGCCGUGUCACACAGGCCUUUCACAGUUAAGACAAGCACAAAGAAAAGGCUGAAAAAUUUAAAUAGCUUCAUGUCGACAUGUCACAAUACAUUAUUGUGCUGUAGUUGUAUAAACCUUCCAGACCUCUCAGGUCUUCUGGUUCUGGUCUGCUCUGCAGAACCAAAACCAGAACCAAGCAUGGAAAAGCAGCAUUCAGCUUCUAUGCACCACAAAUCUGGAACGAACGUCCAGAAAACUGAAAAACAGCUGAAACACUGAGUUACUUUAAAUCUAAACACCCAGUUGCCUUUUGCUCCCAAACAUAUUUGAUGAGUAAUGAUGGCACUGGGAAAAAUGUAAUGUUUCAGUUGUUGAUUUUUGUGUUUUUAUCAUGUAAAACACUUUGAAAUGCCUUGCUGCUGAAAUAUGAUACACAAAUAAAAUCUGAUUUGAUUUUUGAUAACUUUUUAUAGUAUCUGCAUCAAGAGAGCACAAGGAUAUUAUUAAGAGAACGUCAACUAAAAACGCUAAAUAACGUGAUUUCUUUAAGUGAAUAACAUCUAUUUUUCAAAACAACAAAAAACAAAUCAUAUUUUUGUCAAAGGGAAACGGAUUGAGGAGUUCUGCCUUUACCCUCUGAAUGCUUCAGCUUUUUCUGCUCUGUUUUGCAGUGAUGUGAAAAACUCAACAGUUUCCUCAACCUAGAUUUUUUUCAGGUGACUGUGGGUGAAGUUUAAUCAAACCUCUCCAUCUGA